AUUGAACGCUGGCGGCAGGCUUAACACAUGCAAGUCGAGCGGAGAUGAGGUGCUUGCACCUUAUCUUAGCGGCGGACGGGUGAGUAAUGCUUAGGAAUCUGCCUAUUAGUGGGGGACGACAUUCCGAAAGGAAUGCUAAUACCGCAUACGCCCUACGGGGGAAAGCAGGGAAUCUUCGGACCUUGCGCUAAUAGAUGAGCCUAAGUCGGAUUAGCUAGUUGGUGGGGUAAAGGCCUACCAAGGCGACGAUCUGUAGCGGGUCUGAGAGGAUGAUCCGCCACACUGGGACUGAGACACGGCCCAGACUCCUACGGGAGGCAGCAGUGGGGAAUAUUGGACAAUGGGCGGAAGCCUGAUCCAGCCAUGCCGCGUGUGUGAAGAAGGCCUUUUGGUUGUAAAGCACUUUAAGCGAGGAGGAGGCUACCUGGAUUAAUACUCUAGGAUAGUGGACGUUACUCGCAGAAUAAGCACCGGCUAACUCUGUGCCAGCCGCCGCUGUAAUAC
rnacentral:rRNA from 1 species